ensembl:snoRNA
CCAUAGUGAUGCCCUGAUGGAAGGUCCUUCUCUGUGGGCUUCUCAUAGGACCUCCAUGCCAGAGGAGAGUGCAGCCUGGAACCAUUGGCCAGAUUCCUCACUGUUGGGCUGUGAGCACCAGAGAGGGAUCUACAGUA